rnacentral:rRNA from 1 species
AUACGUAGGGGGCGAGCGUUGUCCGGAAUGAUUGGGCGUAAAGGGCGCGUAGGCGGCCCGGUAAGUCUGGAGUGAAAGUCCUGCUUUUAAGGUGGGAAUUGCUUUGGAUACUGUCGGGCUUGAGUGCAGGAGAGGUAAGUGGAAUUCCCAGUGUAGCGGUGAAAUGCGUAGAGAUUGGGAGGAACACCAGUGGCGAAGGCGACUUACUGGACUGUAACUGACGCUGAGGCGCGAAAGUGUGGGGAGCAAACAGGAUUAGAUACCCUGGUAGUCCACACUGUAAACGAUGAAUGCUAGGUGUAGGGGGUAUCGACCCCUGCUGUGCCGCAGUUAACACAAUAAGCAUUCCGCCUGGGGAGUACGGCCGCAAGGUUGAAACUCAAAUGAAUUGACGGGG